AUAGGCGUCUUACCAGACAUGGUUAGAUGUAAUUAUUGUUGUCUAAUACUGUCUGGUAAUGCCGUCCAU
rfam:Tetraodon nigroviridis, WGS project CAAE01000000 data, contig: CNS0BYTR, chromosome: undetermined